UACGGAGGGUGCAAGCGUUAUCCGGAUUCACUGGGUUUAAAGGGUGCGUAGGCGGUUAUGUAAGUCCGUGGUGAAAUCUCUGGGCUUAACCCGGAAACUGCCAUGGAUACUAUGUGUCUUGAAUGUUGUUGAGGUGAGCGGAAUAUGUCAUGUAGCGGUGAAAUGCUUAGAUAUGACAUAGAACACCAAUUGCGAAGGCAGCUCACUAAGCAAAUACUGACGCUGAGGCACGAAAGCGUGGGGAUCAAACAGG
rnacentral:rRNA from 1 species